UAUUGUUUAUUUGAUAGUACCUUACUACUUGGAUAACCGGGGUAAUUCUAGAGCUAAUACAUGCUAAAAGCCCCGACUUCGGAGGGGGGGUAUUUUUUAAAUAAAAAACCAAGGCCCUUUGGGGCUCCUUGGGGAUUCACAAUAACUUAACGAAUCCCAUGGCCUUGGGCCGGCAAUGGUUCAUUCAAAUUUCUGCCCUAUCACCUUUCAAUGGUAGGGUAUUGGACUACCAUGGUUUCAACGGGUAACGGGGAAUUAGGGUUCAAUUCCGGAAAGGGAGCCGGAAAACCGGCUACCACAUCCAAGGAAGGCAGCAGGCGCCCAAAUUACCCAUUCCCGAC
rnacentral:rRNA from 1 species